CCUGGCGGCGAGUGGCGAACGGGUGAGUAAUAUAUCGGAACGUACCCUGGAGUGGGGGAUAACGUAGCGAAAGUUACGCUAAUACCGCAUACGAUCUAAGGAUGAAAGCAGGGGACCGCAAGGCCUUGUGCUCCUGGAGCGGCCGAUAUCUGAUUAGCUAGUUGGUGGGGUAAAGGCCCACCAAGGCAUCGAUCAGUAGCUGGUCUGAGAGGACGACCAGCCACACUGGAACUGAGACACGGUCCAGACUCCUACGGGAGGCAGCAAUGGGGAAUUUUGGACAAUGGGCGCAAGCCUGAUCCAGCAAUGCCGCGUGAGUGAAGAAGGCCUUCGGGUUGUAAAGCUCUUUUGUCAGGGAAGAAACGGUGAGGGCUAAUAUCCCUUGCUAAUGACGGUACCUGAAGAAUAAGCACCGGCUAACUACGUGCCAGCAGCCGCGGUAAUACGUAGGGUGCAAGCGUUAAUCGGAAUUACUGGGCGUAAAGCGUGCGCAGGCGGUUUUGUAAGUUUGUCGUGAAAUCCCCGGGCUCAACCUGGGAAUGGCGAUGAAGACUGCAAGGCUAGAGUUUGGCAGAGGGGGGUAGAAUUCCACGUGUAGCAGUGAAAUGCGUAGAUAUGUGGAGGAACACCGAUGGCGAAGGCAGCCCCCUGGGUCAAAACUGACGCUCAUGCACGAAAGCGUGGGGAGCAAACAGGAUUAGAUACCCUGGUAGUCCACGCCCUAAACGAUGUCUACUAGUUGUCAGGUCUUAAUUGACUUGGUAACGCAGCUAACGCGUGAAGUAGACCGCCUGGGGAGUACGGUCGCAAGAUUAAAACUCAAAGGAAUUGACGGGGACCCGCACAAGCGGUGGAUGAUGUGGAUUAAUUCGAUGCAACGCGAAAAACCUUACCUACCCUUGACAUGGCAGAAAUCCCGGAGAGAUUUGGGAGUGCUCGAAAGAGAAUCUGCACACAGGUGCUGCAUGGCUGUCGUCAGCUCGCGUCGUGAGAUGUUGGGUUAAGUCCCGCAACGAGCGCAACCCUUGUCAUAGUUGCUACGAAAGAGCACUCUAAUGAGACUGCCGGUGACAAACCGGAGGAAGGUGGGGAUGACGUCAAGUCCUCAUGGCCCUUAUGGGUAGGGCUUCACACGUCAUACAAUGGUACAUACAGAGGGCCGCCAACCCGCGAGGGGGAGCUAAUCCCAGAAAGUGUAUCGUAGUCCGGAUUGUAGUCUGCAACUCGACUGCAUGAAGUUGGAAUCGCUAGUAAUCGCGGAUCAGCAUGUCGCGGUGAAUACGUUCCCGGGUCUUGUACACACCGCCCGUCACACCAUGGGAGCGGGUUUUACCAGAAGUAGGUAGCUUAACCGCAAGGGGGGCGCUUACCACGGUAGGAUUCGUGACUGGGGUGAAGUCGUAACAAGGUA
rnacentral:rRNA from 1 species